GACGAACGCUGGCGGCGUGCUUAACACAUGCAAGUCGUACGGUAAGGCCCUUUCGGGGGUCCACGAGUGGCGCACGGGUGAGUAACACGUGAGUAACCUGCCCACAACUUUGGGAUAACGCUAGGAAACUGGUGCUAAUACUGGAUAUGUGCUCCUGCUGCAUGGUGGGGGUUGGAAAGCUCCGGCGGUUGUGGAUGGACUCGCGGCCUAUCAGCUUGUUGGUGGGGUAGUGGCCUACCAAGGCGGCGACGGGUAGCCGGCCUGAGAGGGUGACCGGCCACAUUGGGACUGAGAUACGGCCCAGACUCCUACGGGAGGCAGCAGUGGGGGAUAUUGCACAAUGGGCGCAAGCCUGAUGCAGCAACGCCGCGUGCGGGAUGACGGCCUUCGGGUUGGAAACCGCUUUCAGCAGGGACGAAGCUUUUUGUGACGGUACCUGCAGAAGAAGCACCGGCUAACUACGUG
rnacentral:rRNA from 1 species